CAAAAAAAAUUCUCAUGCAGAUGAAUUGGGGUACCUGCCAGAUGCAUGCAGAGAGGUCAUUGAGUGGCCAUGAGUAGCUAUAAAAGCUUGGUUUCCUGAAGCAAUGGAUAUGGAGGCAGCCAGAUCUGUCUGGUUACUUACCAGAGUGGCUUCUGCCUCCAUGCUUUGAAAUACAGUGCUGUUCUGCAGGCCAGAUAACCGCUACUAGUGAGAGAUUUUGUCCGCUUCUUGCUUCUGUGAGGAGAUAAAGGUAUCAAAGGUGUUGAAGAUGGCUGACUUACUCAACAGUUUAGUGGAGGAAAGUAUCUAGCAGCUCUCACUGAAGAAUUUGUGUAAUCAAAUAUUUGGAAAGGUCAAUCCACAUGUUUUUCAACCUGUGAAUAUAGGUUUAAGAGGUUGAAUUCUGAAAAUCUACAUAGUGCCUGCAAAGUCAGCUCUUCUGUGGUUGGAGUUUAUGGUGAAAGAAAACUGAAGUGACAUCUUUUGGAAGCCCCAGUUCAACUUCACCGUCUUGUUACCAGGCCUUACAUCUAUGGCUUGUUGGAAAGACCAGUUGUAGCAGUAGUUUGAGGUGUUGGAGAUCUGCUGUUUGUAGUGAACGGCAGGGCAAAAGCAGAAAUAAAGGCUGUGGAGUGGUGGGGAAGAUUUAUCAGAAUUACCCUGGGACCUAAUCCUGAGAAAGGCUAAGCUAUGUAGCUCAGCUGCAGCACUCACAUGCGGUGGGGAUCUCCAGACCCUCUGGGGAGCUUUGAGAACUGCUCCCUUCCAGGAUGUUCUGAGCUGCAGUUCUGGGUGAUUAUUCAAUCCACCGGCUUCUCCUUCCCCAUCCAGCCAGCCUCUGUGCCUGGUGACCAGGAAUUUGCGUGCCGCAGCUGAUACUCCCAUGCCAGCAAACUGAACACAGGCAAAAGAGAUCUCACCAAUAGCGCUGUCGGUAUGCUUCAAGGACACCCUCUAGGAACCAGAAGCCAAAAGUGGAUCUGAACAGUUGCAUGUUAUGUAAAGCCAAAGGAGGCCUGCACUCAAAAUGUAAAUGACUAUGAACAUGCUCAACAGGCUGAGAACAGACCAACACAAUAAGAGGAAGUCUCUGAAUUCAUGAAGUUUUGCAAUUUUUUUUGGUUGGCCAAGAGCUAUUUCAACUUUUUUUCCUCACACACAAAACAUGCACAAGAAAGAAGUAUGAGAUUGCUUUCACCAAUUCACAGAAAAAUAUGCUUGAUUUUUUUUUUUUUUCUGUCCAGCGUAAGAUCAUUUGAUGUUUUCAACCAGAACUAUAAAUCUAAAGCACUACAGGCUGCCACUUCAAUAAAAUCUGUACUGCUCUUGCUAAUGUCUUUUCUAUUUACUUGAU